UACAGAGGGGGCAAGCGUUGUUCGGAAUUACUGGGCGUAAAGGGCGCGUAGGCGGCCCGCUAAGUCGAACGUGAAAUCCCCGGGCUCAACCCGGGAACUGCGUCCGAUACUGGUGGGCUUGAGUGCGGGAGAGGAUGGUGGAAUUCCCAGUGUAGAGGUGAAAUUCGUAGAUAUUGGGAAGAACACCGGUGGCGAAGGCGGCCAUCUGGACCGCAACUGACGCUGAGGCGCGAAAGCGUGGGGAGCAAACAGG
rnacentral:rRNA from 1 species